CCUACGGGUGGCUGCAGUAGGGAAUAUUGGACAAUGGGCGAAAGCCUGAUCCAGCCAUGCCGCGUGGUAGAUGAAGGCCCUCUGGGUUGUAAAUACCUUUUAUCUGGGAAGAAAUAUCUCAUUCUUGAGAAACUGACGGUACCAGAUGAAUAAGCACCGGCUAACUCCGUGCCAGCAGCCGCGGUAAUACGGAGGGUGCAAGCGUUAUCCGGAUUUACUGGGUUUAAAGGGUGCGUAGGCGGAAUUGUAAGUCAGUGGUGAAAGCCCCGAGCUUA
rnacentral:rRNA from 1 species